rnacentral:rRNA from 1 species
UACGUAGGGGCUAGCGUUGUCCGGAAUCAUUGGGCGUAAAGCGCGUGUAGGCGGUCCGGUAAGUCCGCUGUGAAAGUCGGGGGCUCAACCCUCGGAUGCCGGUGGAUACUGUCGGGCUUGAGUACGGAAGAGGCGAGUGGAAUUCCUGGUGUAGCGGUGAAAUGCGCAGAUAUCAGGAGGAACACCAAUUGCGAAGGCAGCUCGCUGGGACGUUACUGACGCUGAGACGCGAAAGCGUGGGGAGCAAACAGGG